CACCGCCCGUCACAUCACGAAAGUCAGUUGCUCUUGAAGUCGCCGGGCUACGCAAGGAGGCGAGGCGCCGACGGAGUGGCUGGUGAUUGGGGGUG
rnacentral:rRNA from 1 species